CCUACGGGGGGCAGCAGUGAGGAAUAUUGGUCAAUGGGCUUACGCCUGAACCAGCCAAGUCGCGUGAGGGAAGACUGCCCUAUGGGUUGUAAACCUCUUUUGUCAGGGAGCAAUUGGCGCUACGUGUAGCGUUAUCGAGAGUACCUGAAGAAAAAGCAUCGGCUAACUCCGUGCCAGCAGCCGCGGUAAUACGGAGGAUGCGAGCGUUAUCCGGAUUUAUUGGGUUUAAAGGGUGCGUAGGCGGAAUGCCAAGUCAGCGGUAAAAUCGCGGGGCUCAACCUCGCUCCGCCGUUGACACUGGCGGUCUUGAGUGAGCGAGAAGUAUGCGGAAUGCGUGGUGUAGCGGUGAAAUGCAUAGAUAUCACGCAGAACUCCGAUUGCGAAGGCAGCAUACCGGCGCCCAACUGACGCUGAAGCACGAAAGCGUUGGUAUCGAACAGGAUUAGAUACCCCAGUAGUC
rnacentral:rRNA from 1 species